CGUCUGCGUAGGGUCGAUGAGGAGAAGCAGCGCGCUCACGGUGCCCUGACAGGCGCGGAAAGCCUUAGCGCCCGUACCGCUUGCUCGAGUCUCGCAUUUUUUUUUCCGAUGGAUGAGGAGAAGCAGGAGUUGGGGGUGUUAACGGACACUGCGACUGUUGCCGCUGACACGAUCCAUGCUUGCAUGCCUGUUGCUCGCCUUUUAUCAUUCGUGAAGUGCCCCAGGCUGAGAGCAGUGGCUGCUCGCACGAGUGUGGCCCGUCAAAGGACCCUCCUCCGCUACUCCUACAUGGCACGGCUUCAAUCAACGUUGUGCUAUGGUGACACCGCGUGUUCGGGUGGUGCUGGCCGUAAACUGCAGGAACGCCCGUGUGCACCUUCACGCCAAAGCAGCCGCAGCUGUCGUGGACACCCCAACAUCCGCAGACAACGGAGACACGCUCGAGGAGGCCGAUCUCCUGCCCCUCGACUCUACAGUGCUGCGGCGCUGCACCGGGCUGCGUUUCCCCGCAGCCAAGCGAGGAGACCAUCUGGCGCCUUUGAUGUGGAGAGUUGCACACGCCGGAUGGCGGUGUCGUCACAGUGCUUCGCCAGCUCCCAGGCCGGCAUUCACGCAUCCGCCCUUUCGGAGCCUUACACGCACACACCUCCGCCAUACGUAGCGGCCGCGUGCGCUUCACAUUUCAGCUUGUCGGUGGCCAUCGUGACUUGGUGCACAACGGCGAAGCUGACAAGCUUGCAAAACCAGCCAUGCCAGAGGCGCCGACGCCAGCUGCACGGAUGGAGGAUCUGGUCGCCGGUCUCGGACGCCAGGCAGUAUCCCCCGAAACCGCGUCACACGAUGCGACGCGCUGAGACAAGACAUGCUUGACGGCCGCUCUUCCACACCAAAGAACGAAGAUGCUGAGCUUGCGAGAGGACUGGAGGCCUUCCUCGCGUAGCUCCAUACGGGCACCUGUCCGCACUGUGGAUUCCUGCAGCAGCGGGUAACUGGCAGUGACAAAAUGAAGAUUGUGUGCUGCCUGCUAUUCCUCUAGCACCGUGGUAACCGCACUUCCACCAGAGCCUCCGCCCUGGAGCAGGACCGUGGACGUGGACGGCGUGGAUGGAGGCGCGCGGCCCGGCCGAGUCCGUGCUGCGCCGGUGGCGCAGCGGGUGUGCGAGGAAGAGGGCCGAGGAGGGACAGGAGGAGCCCGUGAGACGCACGGCCCGCCUCGACGGCAUGACGGCUCGCGCUAGAGGGCCCGGAUGCAGCUGUGGCGCGGCAGGGGCAGGAGAGAGGUGUGGCUGUGCGCGUAUGUCUGCUGGCGUGCUCGUGGUGAAAUGGGCACGUGGGCAAAAACAAAACAAACAAACCAACAAAGAAAAAACAUUGUUGCGCUCUUUUGAUGUCGAGGGACGAGUGUUGCUCGUGCUCUCCUCAUCAGAGUUCCCUGUGAGCACUGUUGCCGCCGCGACGCGGGACGUUGGAAAGCGAUGUGUAUGCUCUCUCUUUUGAAGCGACUCUUGACUCUUGUAGGAUGUGUGGCACGCGUAGUAACAUCGGUGAAAAGGUGGCGACACCUGGCAC
rnacentral:misc_RNA from 1 species